rnacentral:rRNA from 1 species
UACGUAGGGUGCAAGCGUUGUCCGGAAUUAUUGGGCGUAAAGAGUUCGUAGGCGGUUUGUCGCGUCGUUCGUGAAAACUUGGGGCUUAACUCCAAGCGUGCGGGCGAUACGGGCGGACUUGAGUACUACAGGGGAGACUGGAAUUCCUGGCGUAGCGGUGAAAUGCGCAGAUAUCAGGAGGAACACCGGUGGCGAAGGCGGGUCUCUGGGUAGUAACUGACGCUGAGGAACGAAAGCGUGGGUAGCGAACAGG